GGCCCCCGGCGGGAAAACUUUUCCAAGCCGGCCAAUGCGAUAAGGGGACCUUGAAUGGCCUUCCCCCUGGGGGCCCGUCCCACCGUUUAAAAAACGGUUGUUAACCAGGGCCGGGUAAGACCGGUGCCAGCCGCCGCGGUAAUACCGGCGGCUCGAGUGGUGGCCGAUAUUAUUGAGUCUAAAGGGUCCGUAGCCGGCUUUGCAAGUCCCCUGGGAAAUCCAGCGGCUUAACCGUUGGGCUUUCAUGGGAUACUACAUUGCUUGGGACUGGGAGAGGUAGGAGGUACUCGAGGGGUAGGGGUGAAAUCCUGUAAUCCUUCGGGGACCACCGGUGGCGAAGGCGUCCUACCAGAACAGGUCCGACGGUGAGGGACGAAAGCUAGGGGCACGAACCGGAUUAGAUACCCGGGUAGUCCUAGCCGUAAACGAUGCCCGCUAGGUGUCACGACGGUCGUGAAUCGUCGUGGUGCCGUAGGGAAGCCGCGAAGCGGGCCACUUGGGAAGUACGACCGCAAGGUUGAAACUUAAAGGAAUGG
rnacentral:rRNA from 1 species